rnacentral:rRNA from 1 species
GAUGAACGCUGGCGGCGUGCCUAAUACAUGCAAGUAGAACGCUGAAGGAGGAGCUUGCUCUUCUGGAUGAGUUGCGAACGGGUGAGUAACGCGUAGGUAACCUGCCUGGUAGCGGGGGAUAACUAUUGGAAACGAUAGCUAAUACCGCAUGACAACAGUUAUUGCAUGAUAACUGUUUAAAAGGGGCAACUGCUCCACUACCAGAUGGACCUGCGUUGUAUUAGCUAGUUGGUGAGGUAACGGCUCACCAAGGCGACGAUACAUAGCCGACCUGAGACGGUGAUCGGCCACACUGGGACUGAGACACGGCCCAGACUCCUACGGGAGGCAGCAGUAGGGAAUCUUCGGCAAUGGACGGAAGUCUGACCGAGCAACGCCGCGGGAGUGAAGAAGGUUUUCGGAUCGUAAAGCUCUGUUGUAAGAGAAGAACGAGUGUGAGAGUGGAAAGUUCACACUGUGACGGUAUCUUAACAGAAAGGGACGGCUAACUACGUG